rnacentral:rRNA from 1 species
ACUAUCAUUAACUGAAUCCAUAGGUUAAUGAGGCGAACCGGGGGAACUGAAACAUCUAAGUACCCCGAGGAAAAGAAAUCAACCGAGAUUCCCCCAGUAGCGGCGAGCGAACGGGGAGGAGCCCAGAGCCUGAAUCAGCAUGUGUGUUAGUGGAAGCGUCUGGAAAGGCGCGCGAUACAGGGUGACAGCCCCGUACACAAAAGCGCAUGUGCUGUGAGCUCGAUGAGUAGGGCGGGACACGUGGUAUCCUGUCUGAAUAUGGGGGGACCAUCCUCCAAGGCUAAAUACUCCUGACUGACCGAUAGUGAACCAGUACCGUGAGGGAAAGGCGAAAAGAACCCCGGCGAGGGGAGUGAAAAAGAACCUGAAACCGUGUACGUACAAGCAGUGGGAGCACAGGUUUACCUGUGUGACUGCGUACC